rnacentral:rRNA from 1 species
UAGUCCACGCCGUAAACGAUGGUCACUCGCUGCAGGCGAUACACGGUCUGUGGCUGAGCGAAAGCAUUAAGUGACCCACCUGGGGAGUACGUUCGCAAGAAUGAAACUCAAAGGAAUUGACGGGGGCCCGCACAAGCGGUGGAGCAUGUGGUUUAAUUCGAUGAUACGCGAGGAACCUUACCAAGGCUUAAAUGUAGAUUGACAGGGGUGGAAACACCUUUUUCUUCGGACAGUCUACAAGGUGCUGCAUGGUUGUCGUCAGCUCGUGCUGUGAAGUGUCGGGUUAAGUCCCAUAACGAGCGCAACCCCUAUUUUCAGUUGCCAGCGAGUAAUGUCGGGGACUCUGGAGAAACUGCCACCGUAAGGUGAGAGGAAGGUGGGGAUGACGUCAAAUCAUCACGGCCCUUACGUCUUGGGCUACACACGUGCUACAAUGGUCGGUACAGAGGGCAGCCACUCCGCGAGGAGGAGCGAAUCCCCAAAACCGAUCUCAGUUCGGAUCGAAGUCUGCAAC